AGCUCCGGCUAACUACGUGCCAGCAGCCGCGGUAAUACGUAGGGAGCGAGCGUUAUCCGGAUUUAUUGGGUGUAAAGCGUGUGUAGGCGGUUUUAUAAGUCUAGGGUCUAAGCCCGGAGCUCAACUCCGGUUCGCCUUGGAAACUGUAAGACUUGAGUUUGGUAGAGGUAAAUGGAAUUUCUAGUGUAGCGGUGAAAUGCGUAGAUAUUAGAAGGAACACCAGUGGCGAAGGCGAUUUACUGGGCCAACACUGACGCUGAGACACGAAAGCGUGGGUAGCAAAUAGGAUUAGAUACCCUAGUAGUCCACGCUGUAAACGAUGGAUACUAAGUGUCGGGCAACCGGUGCUGAAGUUAACACAUUAAGUAUCCCACCUGAGUAGUACGGUCGCAAGACUGAAACUCAAAGGAAUUGACGGGCACCCGCACAAGCGGUGGAGCAUGUCGUUUAAUUCGAAGCAACGCGAAAAACCUUACCAGGACUUGACAUCUCUUUGAAACCUUAUGGAAACACUAGGCCUCUUCUUCGGAAGACAAAGAUGACAGGUGGUGCAUGGUUGUCGUCAGCUCGUGUCGUGAGAUGUUCGGUUAAGUCCGAUAACGAGCGCAACCCUUAUCCUUAAUUGCUAACAUUAAGUUGAGAACCUUAAGGAAACUAUCGGUGACAAGCCGGAGGAAGGUGGGGAUGAUGUCAAAUCAUCAUGCCCCUUACGUCCUGGGCUACAGACGUGCUACAAUGGCAGAUAUAAAGAGUCGCCAACUCGCGAGAGUGAGCUAAUCUCAAAAAGUCUGUCUCAAUUCGGAUUGGAGUCUGCAACUCGACUCCAUGAAGUUGGAAUCGCUAGUAAUCGUAAAUCAGAAUGUUACGGUGAAUACGUUCCCGGGUGUUGUACACACCGCUCGUCACGCCAUGGGAGUUGGUAAUACCCAAAGCUGUUAGCCUAACCAUAAUUUUAUGGAGGGAGACAUCUAAGGUAGGAUCAGCGACUGGGGUGAAGUCGAAACAAGGUAUCCCUACCGGAAGGUGGGGAUG
rnacentral:rRNA from 1 species